rnacentral:rRNA from 1 species
CGGUGAAUACGUUCCCGGACCUUGUACACACCGCCCGUCAAGCCAUGGAAGCUGGUGUACCUAAAGUCGGUAACCGCAAGGAGCUGCCUAGGGUAAAACUAGUAACUGGGGCU